AUUUUAGCCAGGCCCUGAAUGCUGCCCAAGAUCAGUUAAUCUCCACAAUGUUUUGACACCAAGACUAAUUUCAAAGUUCCUUCUAGGAACACAGUUAAUUUGUUUUUUGGCAUAACAGCGUCUUGUUUCUUUGGCGAUAACCGAUAUCAGCCGCCGCUCUCUAAUUAGUCUCGGUGUGUCCAGUGGUUUAGAGUGACAUCAGGAACGCUAACUGAAGAGAUCGAGCAAGCCAGAGAAUAACCCAGGCUUUUCAGGCAUCUGGAGGAGCUUCCAUCUCCACGAUUAUCUUCACUUUCUUAUUAACGCUGCUUGAAGAGCUGUGAUCUAAUGACUAAUGACUGCAGUGGCGCUGCCGCAUUUCCAUUCUGGCUUUUGCAGAGACAGCUUGCCGACAGCCCGGUCGCUAAUGCGUCUGUGGGCGUAAUGAAAACUUUGUGCAUCAACAAUCAACUAUUACGAAGGAGAUUCUCCAGCCAUGAGGUUUGGAAAUGGCUCUUGGGCGGGACGGAGAGGACAGCAGUCGGAUAGCAGCUCUUUAACAAGCACAUUACAGUCUGCUGCUUGUGAAGGUGACUUCCAUUUCUGAGAAAAUGAUUUUUGAAUGUACUGUAGAUUGUCACGGCACCUCACGUCUGAGAGCAUGGGACGACACAAAUGUCAGAUUUGUUUUGAAAGAGCGAGAAUGAAAUACUGACCUGACAAUUCAAUCUAACAAGCCAGGAUAUUUCCUAAAAUCCUAGUUAUAUGUGUUUGUGUCCCUGAAGCGCUAUCACACGAGAACACCUGCUACCUGCAGAAGAGUCCCUUCCUUUAAGAGCUUCAACAGCAUGUUAAUGGUGUGUCUUGUUCAUUGGUGUUACAGCCUCAAGAAAAGCAUUUGGUGGUUACUAAGGUAAGCAUCACUAUUUCUACCACUCAAAGCAAUAACUUGUCCAGCAUCAUUUGUGCUAAACACAUGAAUAACACCUCAAACGUGUAAAUUGUGGAGAAAUGGUGUGGUAUUGUCCUUCCAAGUGUCUUGCAAUUUUGCCUGACAGUCAAUAAAAUGGGCAAAAAGUUCUUACAUUUUAGAAAUAACAUCAGCCAUAGAGACCAG
ensembl:lncRNA